GACGAACGCUGGCGGCGUGCCUAAUACAUGCAAGUAGAACGCUGAAGAGAGGAGCUUGCUCUUCUUGGAUGAGUUGCGAACGGGUGAGUAACGCGUAGGUAACCUGCCUAUUAGAGGGGGAUAACUAUUGGAAACGAUAGCUAAUACCGCAUAACAGUAUGUAACACAUGUUAGAUGCUUGAAAGAUGCAAUUGCAUCGCUAGUAGAUGGACCUGCGUUGUAUUAGCUAGUAGGUAGGGUAAAGGCCUACCUAGGCAACGAUACAUAGCCGACCUGAGAGGGUGAUCGGCCACACUGGGACUGAGACACGGCCCAGACUCCUACGGGAGGCAGCAGUAGGGAAUCUUCGGCAAUGGGGGGAACCCUGACCGAGCAACGCCGCGUGAGUGAAGAAGGUUUUCGGAUCGUAAAGCUCUGUUGUUAAGGAAGAACGAGUGUGAGAAUGGAAAGUUCAUACUGUGACGGUACUUAACCAGAAAGGGACGGCUAACUACGUGCCAGCAGCCGCGGUAAUACGUAGGUCCCGAGCGUUGUCCGGAUUUAUUGGGCGUAAAGCGAGCGCAGGCGGUUUGAUAAGUCUGAAGUUAAAGGCUGUGGCUCAACCAUAGUUCGCUUUGGAAACUGUCAAACUUGAGUGCAGAAGGGGAGAGUGGAAUUCCAUGUGUAGCGGUGAAAUGCGUAGAUAUAUGGAGGAACACCGGUGGCGAAAGCGGCUCUCUGGUCUGUAACUGACGCUGAGGCUCGAAAGCGUGGGGAGCGAACAGG
rnacentral:rRNA from 1 species